rnacentral:rRNA from 1 species
CAGCCGCCGCGGUAAUACCGGCGGCCCGAGUUGCGGUCACUAUUAUUGGGCUUAAAGCGUCCGUAGCCGGGUUGGGAAGUCCUCCGGGAAAUCUGGCCGCUUAACGGUCAGAAUGCCGGAGGAUACUCCCAGCCUAGGGAGCGGGAGAGGCCGAGGGUAUUCCCGGAGUAGGGGGGAAAUCCUAUAAUCCCGGGAGGACCACCUGUGGCGAAGGCGCUCGGCUGGAACGCGUCCGACGGUGAGGGACGAAGGCCAGGGGAGCAAACCGGAUUAGAUACCCGGGUAGUCCUGGCGGUAAACGAUGCGGACUUUGUGUCGGACAAGCUAUGAGCUUGUCCGGUGCCGGAGGGAAACCGUUAAGUCCGCCGCCUGGGGAGUACGGCCGCAAGGCUGAAACUUAAAGGAAUUGGCGGG